rnacentral:lncRNA from 1 species
UUGCAAAGGUCUUUUUAGCUUUCAAGAUACUUCAUAUUUUAUCAUGUGUUUUUCUAUGCGUCUCUGCAUAUGUCAAAAUUUAUAUACAUGAUCUAGUUCUUGUUCAGUUUUAGCAUCUUGAAUUUAGAUUGCUCUUUAAUUCUGCUCAGUUAAGCUAAAUAUUUUUUGUUAUUGUUUGGAAUAAAGGCUUUAAUUGUUUUUCUUCAUUAUAAUGCAGAUUUCUAAUGAAGAGGUUAAGCAUGUUAAGCAUGGAUGAAGUGUAAAACUGCACCAGAAAUUGUAAUUUCAAUCAUUUAUCUCAAUUUUUACCCUUAAGUUGUUUUUGUAUGAAUGUAUAUUACACUUUAAUUGUGUUAGUAAUUUGAAUUCACUUUUCUAAAUACAUAUUUUUAUGUAUUUAUUAUAUAUUGUAUGUGUUAUUAAUUCGAAAGUUAUGUUUCUCUUAUCAAAUAUAUAAAUUUUUAGUUAUUGGAUGCAAAAA